GGGGAUGACUGGUCUCGACAGGGGAGGAUGCUUCCAGGUUGCGAGCCGAGCCGCCCAGUCUCGUUAAAGGGGCAACGGCAUUACCUGCCAAAACCAACAUUGUGGCCUUCCAGCCUCGCGCUGCGAUGGCCCUCGCUGCCUAGUCAAUAGGUAGCGCGCUCGCCGGUGCUCACCUCGAUGGUGCCGGGUCGAGCGUCAGAAGUCGGGGUGCUCCCGGAGGACGCCUGCGGAUCCGGGCUAAGCAAAGCGGGAUGGCUCAACGGUCGCUUUGUCGAUUGAGCGACCUCGAGUGACAGCAAUCAACCGACUACGCUCGUAGAUACCUGUGGCUGACGUCACUGGACGGGGGUUCGACUCCCCCCAUCUCCACCA
rnacentral:tmRNA from 1 species